GGGGCCGACAUGGUUUCGACAGCGGCGAGUAGUGCGUGUAAGCAUGCAGAGCAUUGGGGAAACGGCUCUUAAAUCUCGGUCUCCAAGCCCUAACAGGCAACACUGAGUACGCACUUGCUGCCUAAUAGCCUCAGGCUAUGAAGCUUUACCCCGUGAACAACAGUAGCGGGGACAAGUAUCCUUCGGGGAGGCCCGCAACCCUCCUUCCCGGCUAAAGGAUAUCAACAUGGGAAGCUGGUCGGCGCGGUGGUCCGUAGCGUCGGCGAGACAACAGGACCUAAGCUGUCGGUAGGGUGUCCUUCUCCGGCCUGCAGUCGAAAACCAACGGAGGAAGAAGCAUGUGGAAAGCUCGUGUUGCAGUCGUUUGGACGAGGGUUCGAAUCCCUCCGGCUCCACUC
rnacentral:tmRNA from 1 species